GCCCCAAUGGCUCAGUGGUAGAGUACAUCUUUGGUAAAGAUGAGGUCGCGAGUUCAAUUCUCGCUUGGGGCU
rnacentral:tRNA from 1 species